GGGUAACAUGCCCUAAGGUGGGGGAUAAUCUCGGGAAACUGAGGAUAAUACCCCAUAGGUCUGAUAUGCUGGAAUGCUUUCAGGCCGAAAACUCCGGUGCCAUAGGAUUGGCCUGCGGUCUAUCAGGCUGUAGUGGGUGUAAUGGACCCACUAGCCCGUGACGGAUAUGGGCCUUGAGAGAGGGAGCCCAGAGAUGGACUCUGAGACAUGAGUCCAGGCCCUACGGGGCGCAGCAGUCGCGAAAACUUCGCAAUGGGGGCAACCCCGACGAGGGAAUUCCAAGUGCCAGCACUUUGUGUUGGCUGUUCUCCUGUCUAAAAAACAGGAGGAGUAAGGGGCGGGUAAGACGGGUGCCAGCCGCCGCGGUAAUACCCGCGCCCCUAGUGGUGGUCGAUAUUAUUGAGCCUAAAACGUCCGUAGCCGGUCUUCUAAAUCCUUGGGUAAAUCGGGCAGCUUAACUGUCCGAAGUCCGGGGAGACUGGGAGACUUGGGACCGGGAGAGGUCAGAGGUACUUCUGGGGUAGGGGUAAAAUCCUGUAAUCCUGGAAGGACCACCGGUGGCGAAGGCGUCUGACUAGAACGGAUCCGACGGUGAGGGACGAAGCCCUGGGGCGCAAACGGGAUUAGAUACCCCGGUAGUCCAGGGUGUAAACGCUGCGGGCUUGGUGUUGGGGGUCCUUAGUGGGCGCCCAGUGCCGGAGAGAAGUUGUUAAGCCUGCUGCUUGGGGAGUAUGUCCGCAAGGAUGAAACUUAA
rnacentral:rRNA from 1 species